CCAGUUGUACCUCGCUGGAUUCCAAAUGGCGACCGAUGGGGCGGCGAACUCAGACCCGUAUUUCGCCUGGCCAGGCGACGACACGGCGAUUAAGAACAGCACCAACCUGAAAGACUACAUAGAGAAGCUCGUGCAGAACGA
rnacentral:misc_RNA from 1 species